UACGUAGGGUGCGAGCGUUGUCCGGAUUUAUUGGGCGUAAAGGGCUCGUAGGUGGCCUGUCGCGUCGGGAGUGAAAGCCCACUGCUUAACGGUGGGUCUGCUUUCGGUACGGGCGGGCUAGAGUAUGGCAGGGGAGACUGGAAUUCCUGGUGUAGCGGUGGAAUGCGCAGAUAUCAGGAGGAACACCGGUGGCGAAGGCGGGUCUCUGGGCCAUUACUGACGCUGAGAAGCGAAAGCAUGGGGAGCGAACAGG
rnacentral:rRNA from 1 species